AGGACGAACGCUGGCGGCGUGCUUAACACAUGCAAGUCGAACGGAAAGGCCCUUUCGGGGGUACUCGAGUGGCGAACGGGUGAGUAACACGUGGGUGAUCUGCCCUGCACUUUGGGAUAAGCCUGGGAAACUGGGUCUAAUACCGAAUACACCUUGCUGGCUGCAUGGCCUGGUGGGGGAAAGCUUUUGCGGUGUGGGAUGGGCCCGCGGCCUAUCAGCUUGUUGGUGGGGUGAUGGCCUACCAAGGCGACGACGGGUAGCCGGCCUGAGAGGGUGUCCGGCCACACUGGGACUGAGACACGGCCCAGACUCCUACGGGAGGCAGCAGUGGGGAAUAUUGCGCAAUGGGCGAAAGCCUGACGCAGCGACGCCGCGUGGGGGAUGAAGGCCUUCGGGUUGUAAACCCCUUUCAGCAGGGACGAAGCGAAAGUGACGGUACCUGCAGAAGAAGCGCCGGCUAACUACGUGCCAGCAGCCGC
rnacentral:rRNA from 1 species